rnacentral:lncRNA from 1 species
AUGAUUUUGCAACUGCUGUUUGUUAUUACGUCUGCUUUAGAAGCUUCAAAUAUCGACGGAGAGCUACCUGGCUGUGCCAUGUUUAAAAACCUCACGAAGACACGCGAAUUCAUUGACAAAUCCCUGCUUAUCAGAAACAUCCUGGAUACUCGCAAGCACAUCUACAUCGAGGCUCCCCCUGGUUUCGGAAAAUCUACCAACCUACAGAUGCUUCGGGAUUUCUUCGCCAUGCAGGUCGACUCCAUGGGAUACUCCAUCAACCCGGCAAAAAUCCUGAAAACUGACGCAACCUUUCAGGAAGCCCUGAGGAGGUGUGGAGGGCGUCGGAACACCUCGACAGAACGCGGAGCCUUCGUCAUCGACACCAAAGACCAGUCCAUUGACGUGAAUAUCACUGAAGCCCUCGGCGUCUCCAGGAACCCUCUAAAAAACUAUGAUACCUUCUCGAAGUUGCCAUUGAAAAUAUAUGAGCAGUCACCAGAGUUGUUCGAAACUCAGUUUGCUCGUUAUCCUGUCCUCAUGCUUGACCUUGGAGCUUUGUCCACUAAUUUCUAUCAAGAUUUCGUACGCUCCUUCAAAAUAAUGGUUGCGAAGCUCUUUGACCAAUUUCGGUAUUUGUUAAAGAGCAGCAGACUUGGGCAAAACAACAAGGAUAUAUUUAUACGCUUCAGGGACCGGUAUAAAGAACUGGAUAUAAAGGAGGUAGUGCGUGGCGGAGAGAGACUCGUUCAACUCUUGUCAGCACAUCAUCACCGAAAAUCAAUAGUUCUAGUUGACAACAUUGACGUGCCCAUUCGCGAAGCUCUUUUAGCGCCUCACCUCAACGAGCAAAGUUUCAAAGGGAUCAAAUGGAGUGUUUCCCGAUUCGUCAAGUUACUCAUUAAAAGCAGUUUCGUCUUCAGGGCCGUGGUUACGGGUAACCUCAGACUGGAAAUCACAGACGAAUUGAUGCAUUUCUCCAUUUUCGAGGAUCAAUUUUUGCACCGGUAUUUCGGUCUUACAGAGGAUGAUAUUUCUGAGCUUGCAAUACGAUUCGAUGACCAAAAAAACAUUACGGACGUCCAAAAUUGGUACGGCAACUAUAAAACAACGCCCAAGGGGCGAAAACUAUACAACACUCGCUCGGCGAUUAGCUAUUUCAGAACAGGUGAGCUGAAACCGUACCGAGAUGAGGCCUGUAAGUUCAAAGCCCUGAAAAACCUCCUAGAUUAUGAGAGCGCAGGUCGCCACGUAGAAGACGCCUUUGACAAUCACACACGAAUCUUGAUUCGACAGAAGAUAACAGCAAAGCAUCUCGAGGGCCUAAAACGGACAAUCUUCAACUCCGAUCAAACCGUCAUCGACACGAAUUUAGUGUUACAGAUUCUCCUAGACCACGGUUUCUACUCAGUGUAUGACGAGAAUAAACUCUACGUCCCGAACAUUGAAGCUAUGUUAGACAUCAAGACUCUCAUCUUCGACCGGACGUACUACAUCAACAAACUAAAUAUUACCGAUUAUGUUAUUGACACCUUCGUACAAAGCCUCGAGCAACUUACUAGUGAGGACGCGUCUUUCCGGAACUUUUCCAAUGCGGUCACAGCACUUUUCAAGUACCGUGUGCCACAAGGUGCGAGGGAAUUAGCUCACACUUUGCUCUUUCUAGCGGCCGACGCUCGGAAGUUCGACUUGGUACGCGGUCCAAAAAGCCCAGACUGCAAACGGCAAGAUGUCCUUGUGAAACAGCGUAAGGACAUGGGGAUCAUCAUCGGGAUCACGGUGGAUCCACUUGAUUAUGAGGAGCUGAAAUCGGUUUUUCUCAAGAGUUUCCAGGUGUUUCAGGAAUGCAAGGCAAAGGUUGGCAUCUUGCUGGGUUUGAAACGUCGCGGACUGCUCGCGGAUCUCGGAAUGAUGUACAAGUUUGACAAUCGCACCGUUGUGGACAACAGUGAGUGA